CCUUUUCUUUAGCAUAAAGUUACAUUGGAAAAUGUUUCAACAAUUACUUUAUUUUUUGGUGAAGGCAUUUGCUAUUUUAUUAAGUGACUUCUUAAAGCUAUGCCCAUUUCCUUUUAUUAUAAAGUAAUGAAAAAUUGUAUAACUGGUGUAUGUCUUAUGUUGAUGAGAUCAAUAAUAGUGACCCCAUACUUUUGUAUAGGAGAUUUAUUGGAAAUUUACAGUGAUAUAUUGAAUACUUUACAUCGAUAUAUUGAAUACUUUACAUCCUAUUAUUAAUUACAUCCUAAUGUAGUAUCAUUCACUGUUACCUAAAAGAAAGAGCCAAACCAUAUCAGUAAGCAUACCAAAUGUUGUACCUAUGUGCUGUUACCACUUGUUAAUCACAACUUUUAUCUGUAUGCUUGAGAUGUUCCAUACACUCCAUUGCCUUUCAGCAAUGGAGUGCUUUUGUAGCUUUGUAUGGAACGUUAAAACAACAUGGAUCAGAAGUAGCUUUGGAAAACCAUAAAAAACGAUGGUUUUUGGUACUGUCCUAAGUAACAACAUUAGAUGUAAUAUGAUGCUUCUGUGUUAAAGGGUUAUGUAAAUUAAAUGGAGACAUCCUCCCUAAUGAAUUCCUACCAGCAAUUUAACCGACCAUCGAUAAUGUAGGUUAUGUUGACUUAUUAAGUCCAUAUGGAAAACUACCGAUGUUAACGUUUCCUCAAAUUAUUACAAAGAUCCCUAGUAUUUUUUGUGUAAUAACAGAUAUCAGCAUAGUGCUUUACCAUUCGAAAGCGCACCAUGUAACAAUUUCGGAUCGCCAAAGUAUUGUGUCUCCUUCAGGAAUGUGAGGCGUGAUUUCCAUGAAGAUACCAACGUCUAAAGACAUGGUUCGAUUUUAAAGACUAGAUGCUUCUAAGGGAAGAAGGAAUAGUGCUAAUAGAAUAUUAAAUACCACUGGUAUAUGUCUAAAUAUUUUUAAUAAAAAAUUAGAUAAGUGGACUAUGUACUGUUCAAGGAACUUCUUGGACGUUACUAUGUCCAGGUUUGAAGAAUGUUUCUAUUUGUGGAUGAUUUUUUGAUGAAAUACUGCAGUUCAAGAGACAUAAUUUUAUUCCUAUUUUAAGGAAUACAGAAAUCAGACCAAAUGACCUUUUUUCAUUCCGGAAAAUCUGUAACAUCUUAGUCCAAAAUUUUCAGCAGACUGCUGCAAAUGCGAUUUCCUGCUAUUUGGCUCUUUUUCUUAUUUUAAAGGUCUCUCUAUCUCAUGGUUGCAUGCUUUGUUAACAUUGGCAGGGGACUUGAUAUAAUGUAAUUGCAGAUAGUGGACGAAUGAGCAGCCUGAAGUGAUGCACAAGACACAACUUUACCCGAAAUAAUUAAGUGUUUGGCGCGUUUAACUAGUGGAUGGCCGCCUCGUUCGUGCGAUUUAACUCCUUUAGACUUUUUUCUUUGGGGUUACAUUUAAUCGCUGGUCUAUGCCAAUAAGCCAAUACAUAACAUUAGAUGAGCUGCAGGCCAACAUCGAACGCAUCGAAAUUCCUGGUAUUUCGACCGAUUUGUCUCGAUGUCGUAUUCCAUAAAUAAUAGCAUCGAUUGACCCACAAGUCUUUUAAUUGACAAACUAAAAACCCUUUAGUAAGGCUAUGUUGGACUUAGUACAAAGUAACUCCUAUAAAUCUGCUUGUGUUGGCUUAAUAUUAUGUUCUUUAGUAGCUGAACAUGGUACAAUGUAUUGAAAUAAAAACGGUAGCAAUUGACCAAUGCAAAAGUGGGCAUGAAUCAAAACAAUUUUCAAGUGACGAUAUACUAAUUACCGUAUAACAGCUGUUCUUGACAUUGCUUGAGAUAGAGAGUCGAAAACCAAUGCAGAAUGACAUAAAACACUUUAUACCCAACCUAACCCAUUAUUGAUAAAUUUUUAGCAUUAAAAUGAAAAUGCUCAUUAAACAUUUCUUCUAUUUUUGAAUGAAUUAUACAAUGCCAGAAAAGAGUCAAAUUAUACUUGCUGCAAGGUUUGACGUAAUUCGCUUCGUUUGAUCAAUAAUAUAGUUGAUGAUCCAUAUGGACAAUCUUGUUCUGGGUUUCACAACCAUCAAAAAUAAGUCCAAGAAUUUUUGUAUUGGUUAAAUCGAAGAAAUUGCAAUGAGCCAGAAUAUACGAAAAAAGUUCUGUUGACCCCUACCUGAUAAGUCUUCAAUUGACGAAUAAAAUAUCUAAUGACUGUAAAAACUGAAAAUUCUAGUACUACAUGCUUAAAUAAAAUCUUCUGAAGAUGUUUCCAGAAAUAUAAAAUAGAAUAACGACCAGGAACAGAAUUUACUUUGCCCUUUAUAAUAAAUAUGGAAUAUUCCAAAACUGUACAUAAAUAUUCAAAAUGAUAAUUUUUGACAGAGCGCAAAGAAUAAGCAGGAAGUAUUUAAACACUGAGGAAAAUCUUUGGUCCAAUAAAGGAGAAUGGAGGCGAUACAACGAGGAACUUAACGUCAAUUUCAGAAUUCAUCAAACUGCAAUGGGCAGGUAAUAUGACAGGAAUGAGUGAGGAUAGAAUACCAAAAAGGCUCUUAAGCAGCAGAAUACAACCCAAGAGAGAGGCCAUGAAAAUGUCGCACCAUUAUAAAAUCUUGUUUGUCAUGGUAUUUUAAUAAAAUCCAAAAGUUUUUGCAAUAA
rnacentral:lncRNA from 1 species